CUAACUGUCUCCUUUUUCAAGUCAAUGAAAUUGAUCUCCCCGUGCAGAAGCGGGAAUAAGAACAUAAGACGAGAAGACCCUAUGGAGCUUUAGACACCAAAACAGACUUUGUUAAACACCCCCUAACACGAGACAAAACCAAAAAGACCCUGUUCUGAUGUCUUUGGUUGGGGCGACCGCGGGGAAUACAAAUCCCCCAUGUGGAUUGGGAGACCCUCUCCUACAGCCAAGAGCUACAGCUCUAAGCAAUAGAACUUCUAACCUAAAGAUCCGGCAAAGCGAAUCAACGAACCGAGUUACCCUAGGGAUAACAGCGCAAUCCCCUUCUAGAGCCCAUAUCGACAAGGGGGUUUUACGACCUCGAUGUUGGAUCAGGACAUCCUAAUGGUGCAGCCGCUAUUAAGGGUUCGUUUGUUCAACGAUUAAAAGUCCUACGUGAUCUGAGUUCAGACCGGAAUCGCCUGUUUAUCAAAAA
rnacentral:rRNA from 1 species